CCGCUUUUCAGAACACUUGCUGGGCCUGAUUGGUGGCCUGGAUAGCCAUCAGGGAAGACGACCAGUGCUUUAUGGGUCAGAUGGCAGCAGGAUGUGCUGUUGGUCUCAAUCGGUGGGACAGGC
rnacentral:snoRNA from 1 species